rnacentral:rRNA from 1 species
GAUCGUAGCGGAACCCUUCGGGGUUAGUGGCGCACGGGUGCGUAACGCGUGGGAAUCUGCCCUUUGCUUCGGAAUAACAGUUAGAAAUGACUGCUAAUACCGGAUGAUGUCUUCGGACCAAAGAUUUAUCGGCAAGGGAUGAGCCCGCGUAGGAUUAGGUAGUUGGUGGGGUAAAGGCCUACCAAGCCGACGAUCCUUAGCUGGUCUGAGAGGAUGAUCAGCCACACUGGGACUGAGACACGGCCCAGACUCCUACGGGAGGCAGCAGUGGGGAAUAUUGGACAAUGGGCGCAAGCCUGAUCCAGCAAUGCCGCGUGAGUGAUGAAGGCCUUCGGGUCGUAAAGCUCUUUUACCAGGGAUGAUAAUGACAGUACCUGGAGAAUAAGCUCCGGCUAACUCCGUGCCAGCAGCCGCGGUAAUACGGAGGGAGCUAGCGUUGUUCGGAAUUACUGGGCGUAAAGCGCACGUAGGCGGCGACACAAGUCAGAGGUGAAAGCCCGGGGCUCAACCCCGGAACUGCCUUUGAAACUAGGUUGCUAGAAUCUUGGAGAGGUCAGUGGAAUUCCGAGUGUAGAGGUGAAAUUCGUAGAUAUUUCGGGAAGAACACCAGUGGCGGAAGGCGACUGACUGGGACAAGUAUUGACGCUGAGGUGCGAAAGCCGUGGGGAGCCAAACAGGAUUAGAUACCCGGG